GAGUUUGAUCCUGGCUCAGAUUGAACGCUGGCGGCAUGCCUUACACAUGCAAGUCGAACGGCAGCGCGGGGCAACCUGGCGGCGAGUGGCGAACGGGUGAGUAAUAUAUCGGAACGUACCCUGGAGUGGGGGAUAACGUAGCGAAAGUUACGCUAAUACCGCAUACGAUCUAAGGAUGAAAGUGGGGGCUUCGCAAGAACCUCAUGCUCCUGGAGCGGCCGAUAUCUGAUUAGCUAGUUGGUGGGGUAAAGGCCCACCAAGGCUUCGAUCAGUAGCUGGUCUGAGAGGACGACCAGCCACACUGGAACUGAGACACGGUCCAGACUCCUACGGGAGGCAGCAGUGGGGAAUUUUGGACAAUGGGCGCAAGCCUGAUCCAGCAAUGCCGCGUGAGUGAAGAAGGCCUUCGG
rnacentral:rRNA from 1 species